rnacentral:lncRNA from 1 species
CAACAUUUCUGGUGAGUCAGCCAGGAGGCCGUGGAGAGGACAGGUUGGCUGUCUCCUUUGCCUGUAGGUGGUCUGGGGCCCCAGCAGUGGGAGACCUGUAACUUCAGGCACCACUGGAAGAACUUAAGCCCAGAGAAGGAAACGGCUCUUCCACUCCCCAGCGCCCCUCCCCAGAUGGUGCAUCAGAACCUGGAGGGUUGCAGGACAAUCUCAAGAGCAGCAGGCAGACAUCUGAACCGUGUUUCAGGAAUCAUGCCUUGGAUUCACCACAGUCGGCUAAAACCAGCAGCCCAGGAUCAGUGGAUCAGUCAAUAAGACCCAGACCGUCCAACCCGGCCAAUCCUGCGACAAGACCACGUAACUAGUAGAAAUAACAGCAGCCCUGCUGUGGCCACUCCGGAGGCUGGCCAGUCUAUGCACGGCAGAAGCUUGAGGAAAACUGUAAGCCCUGCUCUAGUCACACAACUGGAAACUGACUAGUCUACGCAUGGCCAAAGCUUGAGG